AGAGAAAUUUGGAUUAAUGCCCUAUGGUAUCAUUGAUUGGCAUCAAUUGAUGAUUAAAGAUUUAUCGGUAGGAGAUGAGCAUGCGUUCUAUUAGUUAGUUGGAGUGGUAACGGCACCCCAAGACAGCGAUAGAUAGGGGCCCUGAGAGGGGGAUCCCCCACACUGGUACUGAGACACGGACCAGACUCCUACGGGAGGCAGCAGUGAGGAAUAUUGGACAAUGGAGGCAACUCUGAUCCAGCCAUGCCGCGUGCAGGAAGACUGCCCUAUGGGUUGUAAACUGCUUUUGUACAGGAAGAAACAUCCCGACGUGUCGGGACUUGACGGUACUGUAAGAAUAAGGAUCGGCUAACUCCGUGCCAGCAGCCGCGGUAAUACGGAGGAUCCAAGCGUUAUCCGGAAUCAUUGGGUUUAAAGGGUCCGUAGGUGGAUGAUUAAGUCAGGGGUGAAAGUCUGCAGCUCAACUGUAGAAUUGCCCUUGAUACUGGUUAUCUUGAGUUAUUAUGAAGUAGUUAGAAUAUGUGGUGUAGCGGUGAAAUGCAUAGAUAUUACAUAGAAUACCAAUUGCGAAGGCAGAUUACUAAUGAUCAACUGACACUGAUGGACGAAAGCGUGGGGAGCGAACAGGAUUAGAUACCCUGGUAGUCCACGCCGUAAACGAUGGUCACUAGCUGUUC
rnacentral:rRNA from 1 species